AGCGGCGGACGGGUGAGUAACGCGUGGGUAACCUGCCCUAUACACACGGAUAACAUACCGAAAGGUAUGCUAAUACGAGAUAAUAUAAGAGAUUCACAUGGAUUUCUUAUCAAAGCUGAGGCGGUAUAGGAUGGACCCGCGUCUGAUUAGCUAGUUGGUAAGGUAACGGCUUACCAAGGCGACGAUCAGUAGCCGACCUGAGAGGGUGAUCGGCCACAUUGGAACUGAGACACGGUCCAAACUCCUACGGGAGGCAGCAGUGGGGAAUAUUGCACAAUGGGCGAAAGCCUGAUGCAGCAACGCCGCGUGAGUGAUGAAGGCCUUCGGGUCGUAAAACUCUGUCCUCAAGGAAGAUAAUGACGGUACUUGAGGAGGAAGCCCCGGCUAACUACGUGCCAGCAGCCGCGGUAAUACGUAGGGGGCUAGCGUUAUCCGGAUUUACUGGGCGUAAAGGGUGCGUAGGUGGUCUCUUAAGUCAGGAGUGAAAGGCUACGGCUUAACCGUAGUAAGCUCUUGAAACUGGGAGACUUGAGUGCAGGAGAGGAAAGUGGAAUUCCUAGUGUAGCGGUGAAAUGCGUAGAUAUUAGGAGGAACACCAGUAGCGAAGGCGGCUUUCUGGACUGUAACUGACACUGAGGCACGAAAGCGUGGGGAGCAAACAGGAUUAGAUACCCUGGUAGUCCACGCCGUAAACGAUGAGUACUAGGUGU
rnacentral:rRNA from 1 species